rnacentral:rRNA from 1 species
AACGCUGGCGGCGUGCUCUAACACAUGCAAGNUCGAGCGGUAACAGGCGUAGCAAUACGUGCUGACGAGCGGCGAACGGGUGAGUAAUGCUUCGGAAUCUACCCAGUAGUGGGGAAUAACCAUCCGAAAGGAUGGCUAAUACCGCAUACGUCCUACGGGAGAAAGCGGGGGAUCGUAAGACCUCGCGCUAUCGGAUGAGCCGAAGCCGGAUUAGCUAGUUGGUAGGGUAACGGCCUACCAAGGCGACGAUCCGUAGCUGGUCUGAGAGGACGACCAGCCACACUGGGACUGAGACACGGCCCAGACUCCUACGGGAGGCAGCAGUGGGGAAUAUUGGACAAUGGGGGAAACCCUGAUCCAGCGACGCCGCGUGUGUGAAGAAGGCCUGCGGGUUGUAAAGCACUUUUAGUGGGGAUGAAAAGUGCAGAGCUAAUAUCUCUGCAUCUUGACCUAACCCAAAGAAAAAGCACCGGCUAACUCUGUGCCAGCCGCCGCGG